rnacentral:lncRNA from 1 species
CUGCCAACCCGGAAGGAGCCCGGAGGGGCCCGGGCGGCCAGGGCGCCCCCGCCAGGAGGCCCGCCAGGUGUCCACCUGAGCCCCACGCCCUGCGCCGCGGGGCCCUUUUGGGGGCGGGGUGCCAGCUCCGAGGUGUCCUCCCACGGGCUGUAGACUGGGAAACUGAGGCCCGGGCCACGGUCCCAGACGCAGCCGGGACCCGAACCCACCUCACCUGAGCGAAUGAUAUCCGGGACUCAUCCUUUUUCGACACCUUUGCGGGAUCCAGCCCUCCAAGGAAAGCUUCCUGAGCAGUGCGCGCCACGUGUAUUGGGCACCUCACCGCGGCCACUUCACAUCCUAUCUCAGGUGGAGAAACUAAGCCACAGAAAGGAGCUGUCAUUUACCUAAAGCACCGUGGCAGGGGUUUGGCAGAGCCAGGAUUUGUACCCAGAUCGCCUGACUUCGGAGAGUAACAGCUCUUAACCACAGCACUUCGGUCUAUGCCUUGAUUUCACCAUAUGUAACAAGCAGCUGUGCCACUUUGCAUUCCCACCAGCAGCACGCAAGCGUUCGAAUUUCUCCGCACGCUCCCCAACAGGACAAGAGCUUGCCGUGUUGCCCCAGGCUGGUCUCAAACUCCUAGCCUCAAGCAAACUUCCUGUCUCGGCCUUUCAAAACCCUGAGAUUACAAGCAUAAGAAAAGAAAAUCUUGUAAGAUGAAAGCUGAAGGAUGAGAGCAAUUAAUUGAUGAAGUAUGAUGAUCCAGGUGUCCCUGGGUGAAGAAACAACCUCUACAAAGGCCCUGAGACAGGGUCUCGCUCAUCACCAGGCUGGAGUACAGUGA